rnacentral:rRNA from 1 species
UACGUAGGGUCCGAGCGUUGUCCGGAAUUACUGGGCGUAAAGAGCUCGUAGGUGGUUUGUCGCGUUGUUCGUGAAAACUCACAGCUUAACUGUGGGCGUGCGGGCGAUACGGGCAUCACUGGAGUUCGGCAGGGGAGACUGGAAUUCCUGGUGUAGCGGUGAAAUGCGCAGAUAUCAGGAGGAACACCGGUGGCGAAGGCGGUUCUCUGGGAAUAUCCUGACGCUGAGGAGCGAAAGUGUGGGGAGCGAACAGG